rnacentral:rRNA from 1 species
GAUGAACGCUGGCGGCGUGCCUAAUACAUGCAAGUCGAGCGAACAGACGAGGAGCUUGCUCCUCUGACGUUAGCGGCGGACGGGUGAGUAACACGUGGAUAACCUACCUAUAAGACUGGGAUAACUUCGGGAAACCGGAGCUAAUACCGGAUAAUAUAUUGAACCGCAUGGUUCAAUAGUGAAAGACGGUUUUGCUGUCUCUUAUAGAUGGAUCCGCGCCGCAUUAGCUAGUUGGUAAGGUAACGGCUUACCAAGGCAACGAUGCGUAGCCGACCUGAGAGGGUGAUCGGACACACUGGAACUGAGACACGGUACAGACUCCUACGGGAGGCAGCAGUAGGGAAUCUUCCGCAAUGGGCGAAAGCCUGACGGAGCAACGCCGCGUGAGUGAUGAAGGUCUUCGGAUCGUAAAACUCUGUUAUUAGGGAAGAACAAAUGUGUAAGUAACUAUGCACGUCUUGACGGUACCUAAUCAGAAAGCCACGGCUAACUACGUG